rnacentral:rRNA from 1 species
UACGUAGGGGGCAAGCGUUAUCCGGAUUUACUGGGUGUAAAGGGAGCGUAGGUGGCGUGGCAAGUCAGAAGUGAAAGCCCGGGGCUCAACCCCGGGACUGCUUUUGAAACUGUCAUGCUGGAGUGCAGGAGAGGUAAGUGGAAUUCCUAGUGUAGCGGUGAAAUGCGUAGAUAUUAGGAGGAACACCAGUGGCGAAGGCGGCUUGCUGGACUGUAACUGACACUGAGGCUCGAAGGCGUGGGGAGCAAAC